CCUACGGGUGGCAGCAGUGGGGAAUAUUGCACAAUGGGGGAAACCCUGAUGCAGCGACGCCGCGUGAGUGAAGAAGUAUUUAGGUAUGUAAAGCUCUAUUAGCAGGGAAGAAAUAGCGACCUUUGGGUCGCCAGACGGUACCUGCCUAAGAAGCCCCGGCUAACUACGUGACAGCAGCCGCGGUAAUACGUAGGGGGCAAGCGUUAUCCGGAUUUACUGGGUGUAAAGGGAGCGUAGACGGCAGCACAAGUCUGAAGUGAAAUGCCGGGGCUUAACCCCGGAACUGCUUUGGAAACUGUGCAGCUAGAGUGCAGGAGAGGUAAGUGGAAUUCCUAGUGUAGCGGUGAAAUGCGUAGAUAUUAGGAGGAACAUCAGGGGCGAAGGCGACUUACUGGACUGUAACUGACACUGAGGCACGAAAGCGUGGGGAGCGAACAGGAUUAGAUACCCUUGUAGUC
rnacentral:rRNA from 1 species